UACGUAGGUGGCAAGCGUUGUCCGGAUUUACUGGGCGUAAAGAGCGCGCAGGCGGUCGUUCAAGUCGCGUGUGAAAGCCCCCGGCUCAACUGGGGAGGGUCACGCGAUACUGAUCGACUCGAAGGCAGGAGAGGGUAGUGGAAUUCCCGGUGUAGUGGUGAAAUGCGUAGAUAUCGGGAGGAACACCAGUGGCGAAGGCGGUUAGCUGGCCUGUAACUGACACUGAGGCGCGAAGGCUAGGGGAGCGAACAGG
rnacentral:rRNA from 1 species